CUACGGAGGAUGCAAGCGUUAUCCGGAUUUAUUGGGUUUAAAGGGUGCGCAGGCGGGAGAUUAAGUCGGCGGUGAAAUUUUGCAGCUCAACUGUAAAAGUGCCUUCGAAACUGGGUUCCUUGAGUGUAGAUGAAGUAGGCGGAAUUUGUGGUGUAGCGGUGAAAUGCAUAGAUAUCACGAGGAACUCCGAUUGCGCAGGCAGCUUACUAAACUACUACUGACGCUCAGGCACGAAGGCGUGGGGAUCAAACAGGAUUAGAUACCCUGGUAGUCCACGCAGUAAACGAUGAUUACUAGCUGUUUGCGAUACAAUGUAAGCGGCUGAGCGAAAGCGUUAAGUAAUCCACCUGGGGAGUACGUUCGCAAGAAUGAAACUCAAAGGAAUUGACGGGG
rnacentral:rRNA from 1 species